CAGUCGCCGCGCGGUAAUACGAAGGGGGCUAGCGUUGUUCGGAUUUACUGGGCGUAAAGCGCACGUAGGCGGAAAUUUAAGUCAGGGGUGAAAUCCCGAGGCUCAACCUCGGAACUGCCUUUGAUACUGGGUUUCUUGAGUCCGGAAGAGGUGAGUGGAACUGCGAGUGUAGAGGUGAAAUUCGUAGAUAUUCGCAAGAACACCAGUGGCGAAGGCGGCUCACUGGUCCGGAACUGACGCUGAGGUGCGAAAGCGUGGGGAGCAAACAGGAUUAGAUACCCCUGUAGUCCCUGUCUCUUAU
rnacentral:rRNA from 1 species